CACACACACACACACACAUUUCCAGUGAAGCCACCAUUGUCUUGGUUCCUAACCAAAUAAAAUAAAUAAACUAGUAGGUUUUGAAUUUAUAUCAAAGUAGCAACACGAAUGCCAAAGAAACACAAGUUAUUUAAGCUGCUUGUGCAGUAACUCCCUCCAUGUCUCCCUCUGGCUUAGUGUGUGGGAACAUUCUGAGCCUAAGGAACAGGGAGAGGGUGGAUCAUUUCCUGGUAUGCUGGUGUCAGCCUUGAUCAUCCCUCAGGGCCAGUCCUGGGACAUGGUUACUCACAGAAACCACAAUCUCUUCUCAUCCCUUAUCCACCCAUUUAUGUGUCAAAUGCUCAUAUUCCAACUUAUGAGGCAUUCUUUUAUUUCAACCACCCAGGACUCAGAGGAAGCACACCCUUGUCGAUGGUGACCAUGUUCUCAUGAAAAGCCCCUGGCCAGGCACUGGCCUCAGAAUGUCUCACUUUGGUCCAUUUGAUAAUUAGGUUGAAAGCAAGAUAUUUUUCCUACAUUGACCAAGUAUUGUUCUUAAAUACAGAACCUGGGGUCUAAGUUUAUCUUCUUCCUGCUCAGAUUCUUUCUGUCUGACUCUAGGUCCAUUCCUGGAGUCACCUAGCUGGUGGUUUCCAUAUCAAGCUACAUGUAUCAAACCUCUGGUAUAUUUUUUCUCAUUACUUAUCUCCAGUAGAAUUUCCCCAUGGGUCACCUCUCACUAGUCUGUGAGUUUCUUGAAUGGAAGUGGUAACAUAUUAUUGUUUUAAAUGAAACUGUCUUGCUUAAGCUAGAGGCCAAAAGAUUAAAUGCAGGGGAUCCCUACAGGGUCAUCUAAAAAGAGGAGAGAGGAAAGUGCUCAUACAUCCCUAAGUUCUCCCACAUCCACCAGAGAGCAAGUUCAUUGAGUCUGUGAAUGCAUAGCUUAGCCAUUCCUCCAUAUUUUUCAACAAUGCCAAAACUACUUGGUCAUGGAAAAUCUUCAGCCUCGCUGACAUGUUUCUGUGACUCCCUGAGCUCUUGCAAUCAAACCAGGUUCCAUCAGAGACCAGCAUGUUCCAGGAAGAAGUCAAUAAAGGAUUUACAAAGGGACAAUCAACCUGGAAUAGAAAGCAUUGGAAACUAGUAUUGACCGGAAGUCAGAAUUCCCAUGGGGCAUGAGAAAGUUUAGGGGAAAGACAAGUGUCAUCUGAACCAGGAAGGUUCAUGGAAAAGUAGCUCCUCACAGGAACCAUGUGUAGAGAAAGGUAGACUGGACUUAGCUCCAUUCCCACAGAAUGCAGUCAAACAGGUAACUCUACCCAGGAGAAGUCAUCCUCUAGGACAGAGACACAGAGCAAGUAUGGCAGGACUGUCCUCCUUCUAAGAUCUAGAGAUGAUGACGUGCCACAUUAGCCUUCUAGAGAAGCAUGCUCCCUUCUACAAUAAACCCCUGUCUGUGCUACCACUUGGAGCUUCCAAACUCAAUUAUUUUGUCCUUAUAUCACCAUUGCUAUGAUGGAUGGAACUGAGACUUAUAGAUAACAAUGGCAGUUCUCAUGGAAAAUGACUUAAAUCAAUGCUAUUUUAUUGAAUAACUACUAUGUGACAUAGAUUUACAUGUAGACAAAUGAAAUAUUUUGUGGUCCAAGAUUUCCAGGCUCAUGAUUUUGUUGCCUGUGUUGAGAAGACAAAUAAUAGUGCAAGUCUUGUGUCUGGGGCCAAAUCAAGUCAUUACAUGUAAUAGAAAAAGCAGUGGACUUGAGGCAAGCCAUCUGCUAUGGUUUUAAUAAGUUUUUCCCAAGACCCAAGUAUCAAAGCUUGGUCACAGUUUAGUUAAAUUGCAAGGAAAAAGAAAAUGCUAAAUGGUGAGACAUGCUGGGAGAUUUUGUAUCAUUGUUCUCCAAGGAGAUUAUGUGAUUCUAUCUCUUCUUGCUUGCUUCCUGACCACCAACAGGUGAGCAGCUUUCUCUGCUGUACAUUCUUACUGUGAUGUGAUCCUUCAUCACAGGCACAAAAGCUACAAGGUCAAAUGACAAUGGAAAGGAACCUCCAGAUCUGUGAACCAAAAUAAACUUAUUAUUUUCUUAAGUUGAUUCUCUUAAGCAUGAUGUUAUAGUAACAGAGAGCUGACUAGUGCAACACUGGGAAUCUCUUCCUGGCUUUGUUGUUCCCAUGAUGCAUAACCUGACAGUGCAUUUCUCCUCAGGACUCCAUCUCCUUUAGGAGAGGAGGUAUAGACCCAAGUGACCUCUAGAACUGGGCCCUCUGCUUCUGUGAGCCCUCAAUGGCAAAAAAUCUGAGUGGUUCUGAGGUGCAUGGAGCAAUAUAGUCUGUUGUGGUCAGAGAGGCCACAGUGAGGGAAUGUGUGUUGAUCUGAGCCCAGAAGAAGUGUAUAUGGUGAAUGUUGCAGCCAAAUGGGGUGGUACCUGCCAAGUUGCAAGGGCCAAAUGGAUCUGGUCCAAGUGAAGAGGCAGCAGCCCACAUCUCCAAGAGAGGAAUAAAACUAGACCACAGGUAACAGGAGCAUCUGUGGGGGCUGGCAGGAAGGAGGUAGUUGUCACAAGCAGAUGCUGUGUACAACUGAAACCCAAAAUGUGUUUUCCCUCGCUUAGCUAAGCUGAAAAAGUGAGAUCCUCAGAAAUCAGAUAAGAGCCAAUUCCAGGUAGUUAACUCAGAAAUCAAGUGCCCUCUAGCUGUGUUUCUAAAACACUUAACAGUUUAAGUUACUCUCUUGUUUAUAAGACUUCCAAGAGUCCCUCUGCCUGUGGGAACAAGUCUAAACCCCUUAGUGUCACACAAUCCCAUCCAAUCUCUCACAGUAAGGCUGGUCAGUGCUGCACUGGGCAAGCUACUGGCUAGCUAUACUCACUGUUGUCCAGAUGAGCCUCUGUCUAUGCCAUGGAUGAUCAUUCACCCACAAACUUAGACAGUACUUAUUGAGCACUAACUAUAUGUUAUUUCUUGUGUCCCAGUUUGAAUAUGAAAUGUCCCUCACAGUCUUAUAUGUUAAUGACUGCAUCUCCAGCUGGUGAUGCUAUUUUGGGAGGUGGGGUUGAUUUCUCAAGUCUCACUUUUUCCAGUUUAGCUGACUGGGCGAAAACAAGUUUGAGGCUUCAGUGAUAGGCAGGUUCUUAAUUUGACAGGAACACACUGGUGCUUGUGACUUCCAGCCUCACUGUGUCCAGCUCCUCUACUUAAACAAAGUAGAUCCCAAAGUAACAAGCCUUUGAAAGUAAUGAUUCAUCCCCAGUCCCCUCCAUUCCCUCUGCUUCCUGAUUGCCAUGAACUGAAGAAUCUCUCAGCUGUGUACUUCUACCACCACAGUGUUCUGUCCAAGUGAAUGAGGCCAAGCAACCUGGAACUGACUGAGCCCUAUGAGUCAUAAGCCAAAUGUCUUGGUCACAGCUUCAGAAAAGUAACCCAUGUGGCCCAACUCCUCUGGUGAUCAGAGAAGUUACUAGCCCUGCAUUCCAGCCUGGAGAAAUAAUCUAAGUCUGCCUUUGUUGGUAUGUGGAACGGCUUUCGCCUCCAGCGGUGAUGUCGCUGGGUCACCUGCAGGCUACAGGGACCUGCACAUCUGUUGCCUUGGCAACGGUCAUAUAUUCCCAGCAUACAUUUGGUUCAGCCCCACCUUUACCUGGGAGCAGUUACAUCACAGUUUAAAUAAAAGCACCAGAAUUUGGCUUUUCUCUGGAGCCCUUCCAUCCUUGGACAGGAAAUUCAAAGAAUCAUGGUCUGCCUUCUUAGCAGACUGCACCUGAAAGUACAGGCUCUUGCCCACUGCCUGAAAAUAUGUCUAAGUGCUCAGUCGUUUUCCAAGGACCUGGAAAGGACUUCACUGAGCCUCUAUGCCUGGACCACCACAACUGUGGUGUUUUUGGAGGCAGCAGAGAUUCUACAAAAUAGAGAUUUGCUAGAGGAUCCGAGUCACUGAGGAAGGGCCUUGGUGUUAGACAGACCAGUCCUACUUCCUGCCUGCUCUCUGCUUCAUAACUGCAAACACAAUUCUUAUCCACCAUUAAACUGGAUUCUCACUGAGAGGCAGAUAAAAUGCAACAGUGUCAACUCCUCAUCCGUGAUCCUCUCAGCACUGACCUGGAGUUCACAGAACAGUUACAUUGUUCAGUUUGUUAGAAAUAUGGAAUCCCAAGUCCCACCUCAACCCCAACUUUAACUACUUUAUUUGUGUGAAUUGCAUGUUCACACAUGUGCCAUUUUGCAUAUGUCAGAAGAGAGAGGCCAAUGACAUAGCCCUGCAAUACAACAGACUACAACCUAUACACAGUAGACAAAGCUCAUAGUCCAUGUGGGAAGCAUUUCGAUGCCAUCAUUGAAGAAUAAGACAUAAUGACAAGACCGAGGUCCCAGCCCAUGGAGUGAGCCCUCUCUUCUUGUCUGUAUCUAGGUUUUCUCCACUGUCUUCUAUCAUCUGGAACGAACUGGUCAACUUCACAAAGCCCAUGCAGAGCCAAAACGGUGAGUCACAGAAGCAGCAUUCAGUAUGAUGUGGCCCACAUGGAGCUCAAAACAACAAACCACAAGGACACAGGGCUUAGAGAUACGGCAAGAGGUAG
rnacentral:sRNA from 1 species